rnacentral:rRNA from 1 species
AUGUUUGACGGAGUUGAGCGGAUGCUUCGGGGAGUCAGGCAUGUGCCGGGGCUAAAGAGGAAUCUAAUUUCGCUUGGUGUUCUUCAUGACGGUGGUAUGGUAUUCCGUUGUGAUCGGGAUAAGAAGACCAUGAGAAUCAUGGAAGAUGAGGUGACCGUGAUGAUUGGAGCGAGGACGGCUUCGCAUCUUUACAAGUUGCAAGGGAGCACUAUUGCAGGUGGAGUCACGGAGGGUGGAGUUGCGGGAGUAGCAGCGGGGUUCCACGGCGGCGGCGGGUCUGGGGCAGACUCGUCGAGUAGCUCUCAGUAA